rnacentral:rRNA from 1 species
UCUACGGGAGGCAGCAGUGGGGAAUAUUGGACAAUGGGGGGAACCCUGAUCCAGCGACGCCGCGUGAGUGAAGAAGUAUUUCGGUAUGUAAAGCUCUAUCAGCAGGGAAGAAAGAAAUGACGGUACCUGACUAAGAAGCCCCGGCUAACUACGUGCCAGCAGCCGCGGUAAUACGUAGGGGGCAAGCGUUAUCCGGAUUUACUGGGUGUAAAGGGAGCGUAGACGGCGAUGCAAGUCUGAAGUGAAAGGCGGGGGCCCAACCCCUGGACUGCUUUGGAAACUGUAUGGCUGGAGUGCAGGAGAGGUAAGUGGAAUUCCUAGUGUAGCGGUGAAAUGCGUAGAUAUUAGGAGGAACCCCGAUUGCGAAGGCAGCCUUCCGGCGCCCUACUGACGCUGAGGCACGAAAGUGCGGGGAUCGAACAGGAUUAGAUACCCGGGUAGUC